rnacentral:rRNA from 1 species
UACAGAGGGUGCGAGCGUUAAUCGGAAUUACUGGGCGUAAAGGGCGCGUAGGCGGUUUAUUAAGUUGACUGUGAAAUACCCGGGCUUAACCUGGGAGUGUCAGUCAAAACUAAUAAGCUAGAGUAGGAUAGAGGGCAGUGGAAUUUCCGGUGUAGCGGUGAAAUGCGUAGAUAUCGGAAAGAACACCAAUGGCGAAGGCAACUGCCUGGGUCCAUACUGACGCUGAGGCGCGAAAGCGUGGGGAGCAAACAGG